GACAGAGGUGCCGAGCGUUAGGCGGAAUCACUGGGCUUAAAGCGUGUGUAGGCGGGUCCGUAAGUAACUUGUGAAAUCCCAUGGCUCAACCAUGGAACUGCUUGGUAUACUGCGGAUCUUGAGCCACCUAGGGGCAAGUGGAACAAACGGUGGAGCGGUGAAAUGCGUAGAUAUCAGGAGGAACACCUGCGGUGUAGACGGCUUUCUGGACCAUUGCUGACGCUGAGACACGAAAGCGUGGGUAGCAAACAGG
rnacentral:rRNA from 1 species